rnacentral:rRNA from 1 species
CCUACGGGAGGCAGCAGUGGGGAAUAUUGGACAAUGGGGGGAACCCUGAUCCAGCGACGCCGCGUGAGUGAAGAAGUAUUUCGGUAUGUAAAGCUCUAUCAGCAGGGAAGAAAAUGACGGUACCUGACUAAGAAGCCACGGUUAACUACGUGCAAGCAGCCGCGGUCAUACGUAGGGGGCACGCGUUAUCCGGAUUUACUGGGUGUAAAGGGAGCGUAGACGGGUCGCCAGGUCUGGAGGGAAAUGCCGCAGCUUAACUGCGGCACUUCUUUGGAAACUGGCGAACUAGAGUGCGGGAGGGGUAAGCGGAAUUCCUAGUGUAGCGGUGAAAUGCGUAGAUAUUAGGAGGAACACCGGUGGCGAAGGCGGCUUACUGGACCGUAACUGACGUUGAGGCUCGAAAGCGUGGGGAGCAAACAGGAUUAGAUACCCCAGUAGUC